UAAGGAAUAUUGGUCAAUGGACGCAAGUCUGAACCAGCCAUGCCGCGUGAAGGAUGAAGGCCCUCUGGAUUGUAAACUUCUUUUAUCUGGGACGAAAACGGGAUUUUUAUCUCAAUUGACGGUACCAGAGGAAUAAGCACCGGCUAACUCCGUGCCAGCAGCCGCGGUAAUACGGAGGGUGCGAGCGUUAUCCGGAUUUACUGGGUUUAAAGGGUGCGUAGGUGGGCUUAUAAGUCAGUGGUGAAAUCUCCGAGCUUAACUUGGAAACUGCCGUUGAUACUAUAGGUCUUGAAUUAUCUGGAGGUAAGCGGAAUAUGGCAUGUAGCGGUGAAAUGCUUAGAUAUGACAUAGAACACCAAUUGCGAAGGCAGCUUACUACAUAUAAAUUGACGCUGAGGCACGAAAGCGUGGGG
rnacentral:rRNA from 1 species